GUUAGUCCUGGGUUUAGGUGCUCAUCUUGAGGAUUGCUUGCCGGAUGAUUUGGCCAUUUAGCGAGAGGGUUAACCGCAUGGAUGGCAUGGCUUGUUAGUUAGGUUAGUCCCUGGUUUAGGUGCUCACCAUGAUGAUUACUUGUUGGAUUAGGUGCUUACGUUGAGGAUUGCUUCCUAGAUUAUAUCAGUCUGAAGUGUGUCACAUAUUAGUUGGUCUGGGUGCUUGGCUUAAGGAUUGACUUUUGAACUGGUUAGUCUCUGAUUUGGUUCUUUGGCUUUAGGAUUCACUGCACGCUGAAUUAUGUAAGACAAAAAUGUGUCCCAAAUUUGUUGGUUCGAG
rnacentral:rRNA from 1 species